rnacentral:rRNA from 1 species
CUAGAUUGAUGGCGAGUGGCGAACGGGUGAGUAAUACAUCGGAACGUGCCCUGUAGUGGGGGAUAACUAGUCGAAAGAUUAGCUAAUACCGCAUACGACCUGAGGGUGAAAGUGGGGGACCGCAAGGCCUCAUGCUAUAGGAGCGGCCGAUGUCUGAUUAGCUAGUUGGUGGGGUAAAGGCCCACCAAGGCGACGAUCAGUAGCUGGUCUGAGAGGACGAUCAGCCACACUGGGACUGAGACACGGCCCAGACUCCUACGGGAGGCAGCAGUGGGGAAUUUUGGACAAUGGGCGAAAGCCUGAUCCAGCAAUGCCGCGUGUGUGAAGAAGGCCUUCGGGUUGUAAAGCACUUUUGUCCGGAAAGAAAUGGCUCUGGUUAAUACCUGGGGUCGAUGACGGUACCGGAAGAAUAAGGACCGGCUAACUACGUGCCAGCAGCCGCGGUAAUACGUAGGGUCCAAGCGUUAAUCGGAAUUACUGGGCGUAAAGCGUGCGCAGGCGGUUGUGCAAGACCGAUGUGAAAUCCCCGAGCUUAACUUGGGAAUUGCAUUGGUGACUGCACGGCUAGAGUGUGUCAGAGGGGGGUAGAAUUCCACGUGUAGCAGUGAAAUGCGUAGAGAUGUGGAGGAAUACCGAUGGCGAAGGCAGCCCCCUGGGAUAACACUGACGCUCAUGCACGAAAGCGUGGGGAGCAAACAGGAUUAGAUACCCUGGUAGUCCACGCCCUAAACGAUGUCAACUAGUUGUUGGGGAUUCAUUUCCUUAGUAACGUAGCUAACGCGUGAAGUUGACCGCCUGGGGAGUACGGUCGCAAGAUUAAAACUCAAAGGAAUUGACGGGGACCCGCACAAGCGGUGGAUGAUGUGGAUUAAUUCGAUGCAACGCGAAAAACCUUAACUACCCUUGACAUGCCACUAACGAAGCAGAGAUGCAUUAGGUGCUC